AAGGAUCAUUACUAGAGCAAAGGAUAGGCAGCGCCCCACAGAAGCUUGCUUCCGUGGCGGGCUAUCCUACUUCGGUAGGAUUUAGAGUCGUCGAACCUCUCGGAGAAGUUCGGUCCUGAACUCCACCCUUGAAUAAAUUACCUUUGUUGCUUUGGCGGGCCGCCUCGUGCCAGCGGCUUCGGCUGUUGAGUGCCCGCCAGAGGACCACAACUCUUGUUUUUUGUGAUGUCUGAGUACUAUAUAAUAGUUAAAACUUUCAACAACGGAUCUCUUGGUUCUG
rnacentral:misc_RNA from 1 species